CACCACCAGCAGCAGCAGCACGCUGAAACCAAACGUACCACAUAAUUUCGAUCCGAUUCCUCCGGAUAAUUUCUGGGCCGCCGCUUGGCACCAAGCCCUGGCUGCAAGAGAGAAGAAGAUUUUGAGAGUUUCGGUGCCAAGUGUCCAAAACGUUCCGUCCUGCCUUCAGUACUGCUUGAUGAGCCUUCGUCUCUGCGAGGUCUUCCUCAGCAGGUGUCUGAAGUCGUACGGGUUGUCCUCAGUCCGGCUCUCCGUGGACGACAUUCUGGGGACAGAACGCCUGCCAAGACAGACGGCAAAAAGCAGGAGAUAGUUUGAAAGAUGUAAACAAACAAAGAAACAAACAAAAUAACAGAACGAGAAGAAAGGAAAUGAAAAGAUUCGUGUUCGAGAGAAGGUUUUCAUAUUGUUUAUCGUCUCCUGCCAUUUAUCAUGUGCACGGGCUGUCUAAAGAAACGACCAGACACGAGGGAAAAUGGAUGACGUUCAUGUGUGGACGUGUUCUUGGAAUGUGACAUUUUUGUAAAAAAGAUAAUUUGUAAACAAAGGCAUAGAGGCAUCUCACAUCAGUUGCCAAUCAACUCGUGAAACUUCAGAUCACAAAUCAAAUAAAUGUAUUAAUUUGGGGCAUCUUAUGGAAGCCACAGAUUGUAAUAAAUGAUGGACGUAUUCA